rnacentral:rRNA from 1 species
UACGGAGGGUGCGAGCGUUGUCCGGAAUCACUGGGCGUAAAGGGCGCGUAGGCGGCGCGGGCAGUCAACGGUGAAAGCUCGGAGCUCAACUCCGAGUCGGCCGUCGAUACUCCCGUGCUUGAGCACUGUAGAGGCAGGUGGAAUUCCGGGUGUAGCGGUGGAAUGCGUAGAGAUCCGGAAGAACACCGGUGGCGAAGGCGGCCUGCUGGGCAGUAGCUGACGCUGAGGCGCGAAGGCGUGGGGAGCGAACGGG